rnacentral:rRNA from 1 species
CAGGCCUCCGCCGCGAUACCCGCCAGACGCCACCACACCACUGCCCACACGACCCGCCGCGCGCCUUCCCGCCGCCCCCCACUCGUCUACGCCCCGCCCGCCACAGCUCGCGCCACCCCCGCCCGCUGGGCGCGCGGCGCCGGUCGCCCCACCGCGCCUCCACCGCCCCCCCCCGCCACGCCCCAGCCUCAUCCCGCGGCCGCCCACGCCGCCCCGCCGCCCCCCUCCCCUCCCCCGCGCCCCCGCGAGGACCCGCGGCGCGCGGCGUUUCCGACGCCCCGGCCCCUCUUCCCAACUGGGCCCCCCGGCGGCCCGCGUGCCGCGUAACCCGGACUGGGCGGGCGGCGGCGGCCCCGCCCUACCCCCCUGCUCCCGCAAGAGGGCCCCUCAGCUCCCCCCG